rnacentral:rRNA from 1 species
UAACACGUAGUUGACCUGCCCCCUUCGUGGGGAAGUAAACUCCUCGAAAGAGGAGCUAAUACCGCAUAAGUUCUUCUAUACAGGUAGAAGAGGAAAGGCUCCUAUGAAAGUAGGGGGCGCGAGGGGAGGGGACUGCGGCGGAUUAGCUAGAUGGUGGGGUAAAGGCCUACCAUGGCGACGAUCCGUAGCUGGUCUGAGAGGACGACCAGCCACACUGGGACUGAGACACGGCCCAG